GAUGAAGAACGUAGCGAAAUGCGAUACGUAGUGUGAAUUGCAGAAUUCCGUGAACCAUCGAAUCUUUGAACGCAUAUUGCGCUCGAGCCCUCGGGCAAGAGCAUGUCUGCCUCAGCGUCGGUUUACAUCCUCACCCCUCCCAACUUGUUGGGUAUGUUUGCUUUUUUUGCAAGCCACAGGGGUGGAUCUGGCUUCCCCAAUCAGCCAUCAGGUAGAUUGGGUUGGCUGAAGUACAGAGGCUUAAGCAAGGACCCGAUAUGGGCUUCAACUGGAUAGGUAGCACCGGCCUUUGCCGACUACACGAAGUUGUUGCUUGUGGAUCUUGCUAGAAGCCAAGCAGGAAUGUGCCUUUGGCAUAUCUUAACUUUCGACCUGAGCUCAGGCAAGAUUACCCGCUGAACUUAAGCAUAUCAAUAAGCGGAGGA
rnacentral:misc_RNA from 1 species